UACAGAGGUCUCAAGCGUUGUUCGGAUUCGCUGGGCGUAAAGGGUGUGUAGGUGGCGCGCUAAGUCGGGUGUGAAAUUUCGGAGCUUAACUCCGAAACUGCAUUCGAUACUGGCGUGCUUGAGGACUGGAGAGGAGACUGGAAUUCAUGGUGUAGCAGUGAAAUGCGUAGAGAUCAUGAGGAAGACCAGUGGCGAAGGCGGGUCUCUGGACAGUUCCUGACACUGAGACACGAAGGCCAGGGGAGCAAACGGG
rnacentral:rRNA from 1 species